rnacentral:rRNA from 2 species
GCGGCGUGCCUAAUACAUGCAAGUCGAACGAACUCUGGUAUUGAUUGGUGCUUGCAUCAUGAUUUACAUUUGAGUGAGUGGCGAACUGGUGAGUAACACGUGGGAAACCUGCCCAGAAGCGGGGGAUAACACCUGGAAACAGAUGCUAAUACCGCAUAACAACUUGGACCGCAUGGUCCGAGCUUGAAAGAUGGCUUCGGCUAUCACUUUUGGAUGGUCCCGCGGCGUAUUAGCUAGAUGGUGGGGUAACGGCUCACCAUGGCAAUGAUACGUAGCCGACCUGAGAGGGUAAUCGGCCACAUUGGGACUGAGACACGGCCCAAACUCCUACGGGAGGCAGCAGUAGGGAAUCUUCCACAAUGGACGAAAGUCUGAUGGAGCAACGCCGCGUGAGUGAAGAAGGGUUUCGGCUCGUAAAACUCUGUUGUUAAAGAAGAACAUAUCUGAGAGUAACUGUUCAGGUAUUGACGGUAUUUAACCAGAAAGCCACGGCUAACUACGUGCCAGCAGCCGCGGUAAUACGUAGGUGGCAAGCGUUGUCCGGAUUUAUUGGGCGUAAAGCGAGCGCAGGCGGUUUUUUAAGUCUGAUGUGAAAGCCUUCGGCUCAACCGAAGAAGUGCAUCGGAAACUGGAAAACUUGAGUGCAGAAGAGGACAGUGGAACUCCAUGUGUAGCGGUGAAAUGCGUAGAUAUAUGGAAGAACACCAGUGGCGAAGGCGGCUGUCUGGUCUGUAACUGACGCUGAGGCUCGAAAGUAUGGGUAGCAAACAGGAUUAGAUACCCUGGUAGUCCAUACCGUAAACGAUGAAUGCUAAGUGUUGGAGGGUUUCCGCCCUUCAGUGCUGCAGCUAACGCAUUAAGCAUUCCGCCUGGGGAGUACGGCCGCAAGGCUGAAACUCAAAGGAAUUGACGGGGGCCCGCACAAGCGGUGGAGCAUGUGGUUUAAUUCGAAGCUACGCGAAGAACCUUACCAGGUCUUGACAUACUAUGCAAAUCUAAGAGAUUAGACGUUCCCUUCGGGGACAUGGAUACAGGUGGUGCAUGGUUGUCGUCAGCUCGUGUCGUGAGAUGUUGGGUUAAGUCCCGCAACGAGCGCAACCCUUAUUAUCAGUUGCCAGCAUUAAGUUGGGCACUCUGGUGAGACUGCCGGUGACAAACCGGAGGAAGGUGGGGAUGACGUCAAAUCAUCAUGCCCCUUAUGACCUGGGCUACACACGUGCUACAAUGGAUGGUACAACGAGUUGCGAACUCGCGAGAGUAAGCUAAUCUCUUAAAGCCAUUCUCAGUUCGGAUUGUAGGCUGCAACUCGCCUACAUGAAGUCGGAAUCGCUAGUAAUCGCGGAUCAGCAUGCCGCGGUGAAUACGUUCCCGGGCCUUGUACACACCGCCCGUCACACCAUGAGAGUUUGUAACACCCAAAGUCGGUGGGGUAACCUUUUAGGAACCAGCCGCCUAAGGUGGGACAGAUGAUUAG